rfam:Punctularia strigosozonata HHB-11173 SS5 unplaced genomic scaffold PTNSTscaffold_10, whole genome shotgun sequence.
GCCCGCCUAGCUCAAUCGGAUAGAGCGUCAGACUCUUAAGAGCACCUGAUAGGUGGGCAGUUAAUCUGAAGGCUGCGAGUUCGACCCUCGCGGUGGGCU